rnacentral:rRNA from 1 species
GACGAACGCUGGCGGCGUGCUAAUACAUGCAAGUCGAGCGGAGUUUAUCGGGAGCUUGCUCUGAUAAACUUAGCGGCGGACGGGUGAGUAACACGUAGGCAACCUGCCCGUAAGACUGGGAUAACUACCGGAAACGGUAGCUAAUACCGGAUACGCAAGUCUCUCGCAUGAGGAACUUGGGAAAGGCGGAGCAAUCUGUCACUUACGGAUGGGCCUGCGGCGCAUUAGCUAGUUGGUGGGGUAACGGCUCACCAAGGCGACGAUGCGUAGCCGACCUGAGAGGGUGAACGGCCACACUGGGACUGAGACACGGCCCAGACUCCUACGGGAGGCAGCAGUAGGGAAUCUUCCGCAAUGGACGAAAGUCUGACGGAGCAACGCCGCGUGAGUGAUGAAGGUUUUCGGAUCGUAAAGCUCUGUUGCCAGGGAAGAACGUCCGUUAGAGUAACUGCUAACGGAGUGACGGUACCUGAGAAGAAAGCCCCGGCUAACUACGUG